UGGGGAAUAUUGCGCAAUGGGGGAAACCCUGACGCAGCAACGCCGCGUGAAGGAAGAAGGUCUUCGGAUUGUAAACUUUUGUCUUCAGGGACGAUAAUGACGGUACCUGAGGAGGAAGCUCCGGCUAACUACGUGCCAGCAGCCGCGGUAAUACGUAGGGAGCGAGCGUUGUCCGGAAUUACUGGGUGUAAAGGGUGCGUAGGCGGCUACGCAAGUCAGGUGUGAAAUCUAUGGGCUCAACCCAUAGCCUGCACUUGAAACUGCGUGGCUUGAGUGAUGGAGAGGUAAGCGGAAUUCCUAGUGUAGCGGUGAAAUGCGUAGAUAUUAGGAGGAACACCAGUGGCGAAGGCGGCUUACUGGACAUUUACUGACGCUGAGGCACGAAAGCGUGGGGAGCAAACAG
rnacentral:rRNA from 1 species